rnacentral:piRNA from 1 species
UGAGCAUGAAUGGGUGUGGUGGUGUGC